rnacentral:rRNA from 1 species
CCCUGAUGCAGCCAUGCCGCGUGUGUGAAGAAGGCCUUCGGGUUGUAAAGCACUUUCAGUAGGGAGGAAGGGUAGUGUAGUUAACACCUGCACUAUUUGACGUUACCUACAGAAGAAGCACCCGGCUAACUCCGUGCCAGCAGCCGCGGUAAUACGGAGGGUGCGAGCGUUAAUCGGAAUUACUGGGCGUAAAGCGCAUGCAGGUGGUUUGUUAAGUCAGAUGUGAAAGCCCGGGGCUCAACCUCGGAAUAGCAUUUGAAACUGGCAGACUAGAGUACUGUAGAGGGGGUAGAAUUUCAGGUGUAGCGGUGAAAAUGCGUAGAGAUCUGAAGGAAUACCAGUGGCGAAGGCGGCCCCCCUGGACAAAGACUGACGCUCAGAUGCGAAAGCGUGGGGAGCAAACAGGAUUAGAUACCCUGGUAG